rnacentral:sRNA from 1 species
UCAAAUUUAAACAAACGUUUUCGUACUUAUUGCGAUGAAUAGCAACGCAAUUAUGCAGCAUCGAUAAUGAUGACAAAGUGAGGAGUGUUGGUUAGGGAGAGUAGCAAAAUAAUCAGUAUACCGAGAAGUGGUUGAUGUCUGGUGCCACAGCAACACAAAUAUCAAGAGGAGAAACAUCAACAACUACAGCAACAUUACUCUCAUCCUAAGUGGUUUCAACAAGCAACUUAAGGUUUGAAGGCGGUAUCUCCGAAUCGUGUGCCAAAUAAAUGGAAGUCAGCCAGUAAUGAGACUUAUUUAUUUCAAGGCUGUCUUCAGUGUUUAGAUCCUUUUAGUAACGAUGGCUUUUUGCAGCAAACGUAUAUCCAAAAUGCUAGAGGGAUGGCAAAAACGAACAUUUUUAAAUUAAUAAUACUUUUAAACCACAACUUAUUCCUCAAUAUAAAAGCUUUGAGUAAAGUAUUCAUGGCAA